GUUGACGUUUGAGUAGCGACAAUUAUAAAAAUAAUGAGUCACGCAACUUUAUGUAUCGGGAAUGAUAGUAUUUAAGUAAUUAUUUACUUUGUAAAUACACAUUGUUUGACGCAUUUUGCCGUUUGUACAGUUAAUUUAUUAAGUUUGUAAGAUAUUACACAAAAGAGGUAAUUGUU